AGAGCGAACGCUGGCGGCAGGCCUAACACAUGCAAGUCGAGCGCCCGUAGCAAUACGGGAGCGGCAGACGGGAUAGUAACACGUGGGAACGCGCCCUUCGGUUCGGAAUAACUCAGGGAAACUUGAGCUAAUACCGGAUACGCCCUUACGGGGAAAGAUUUAUUGCCGAAGGAACGGCCCGCGUCCGAUUAGCUAGUUGGUGAGGUAAUGGCUCACCAAGGCUACGAUCGGUAGCUGGUCUGAGAGGAUGACCAGCAUCACUGGGACUGAGACACGGCCCAGACUCCUACGGGAGGCAGCAGUGGGGAAUAUUGGACAAUGGGCGCAAGCCUGAUCCAGCCAUGCCGCGUGGAUGAUGAGGCCUUAGGGUUGUAAAGUCCUUUUAACGGGAAGAUAAUGACGGUACCCGUAGAAUAAGCCCCGGCUAACUUCGUGCCAGCAGCCGC
rnacentral:rRNA from 1 species